rnacentral:rRNA from 1 species
CCUACGGGAGGCAGCAGUGGGGGAUAUUGCACAAUGGGGGAAACCCUGAUGCAGCGACGCCGCGUGUGGGAAGACGGUCUUCUGGAUUGUAAACCACUGUCCCCAGGGAGGAAAAUGACGGUACCUGGGGAGGAAGCUCCGGCGAACUACGUGCCAGCAGCCGCGGUACUACGUAGGUAGCACGCGUUGACCGGAAUUACUGGGUGAAAAGGGAGCGUAGGCGGGGAUGCAAGUUGGGUGUCAAAACUACCGGCUCAACCGAGAGUCGCACUCAAAACUGCAGCUAUUGAGUGAAGUAGAGGCAGGCGGAAUUCCUAGUGUAGCGGUGAAAUGCGUAGAUAUUAGGAGGAACACCAGUGGCGAAGGCGGCCUGCUGGGCUUUUACUGACGCUGAGGCUCGAAAGUGUGGGGAGCAAACAGGAUUAGAUACCCUUGUAGUC